AUUGAACGCUGGCGGCAGGCCUAACACAUGCAAGUCGAACGAGUGGCGGACGGGUGAGUAAUGUCUGGGAAACUGCAUGAUGGGGGGGGAUAACUACUGGAAACGGUAUCUAAUACCUCAUACCAUAGGAUGUGCCCAGAUAGGAUUGGCGAGUAUGGGGGGUAAAGGCUCACCUAGGCGACGAUCCCUAGCUGGUCUGAGAGGAUGACCAGCCACACUGUAACGGAGACACGGUCCAGACGCCUACGGGAGGCAGCAGUGGGGAAUAUUGCACAAUGGGCGCAAGCCUGAUGCAGCCAUGCCGCGUGUAUGAAGAAGGCCUUCGGGUUGUAAAGUACUUUCAGCGGGGAGGCGUUACCCGCAGAAGAAGCACCGGCUAACUCCGUGCCAGCAGCCGCGGUAAUAC
rnacentral:rRNA from 1 species